rnacentral:rRNA from 1 species
AACGAACGCUGGCGGCAGGCCUAACACAUGCAAGUCGAACGCACCGCAAGGUGAGUGGCGCACGGGUGAGUAACACGUGGGAAUGUACCCUUUGGUUCGGAAUAACGUUUGGAAACGAACGCUAAUACCGGAUGAGCCCUGCGGGGGAAAGAUUUAUCGCCAAAGGAGCAGCCCGCGUCUGAUUAGCUAGUUGGUGGGGUAAAGGCCUACCAAGGCGACGAUCAGUAGCUGGUCUGAGAGGAUGAUCAGCCACACUGGGACUGAGACACGGCCCAGACUCCUACGGGAGGCAGCAGUGGGGAAUAUUGGACAAUGGGCGCAAGCCUGAUCCAGCCAUGCCGCGUGAGUGAUGAAGGCCUCGGGUUGGUUAAAGGCUCUUUCGUCACGCGACGAUGAUGACGGUAGC